rnacentral:lncRNA from 10 species
CAGAGUUCCACAUGGCUUGGGAGGCCUCAGGAAACUUACAGAAUCAUGGCAGAAGGGGAAGCAAACAUGUUCUUCACAUGGCAGCAUGAGAGAGAAGUGGCCACUGAACUCCAAAUGCCACUGAUGCCAUAAUAUUAAGGACUCAUAAUAUGGAGCUGAAUGAGACAUAGUAUCAGCUUUUUACCAGCUCACUGUCUAUCAGAGAAGAUGGAGAGGAAGUCUAUCAAUUUUCAUGUGGACACAUACACUAGCAAUCAAACGUUUUUUCUCAGAAAAUUGAUUUGUCCUUCCCUUUUGAAAGAUAUUAUUGUUGAAAUCCAUACAUGCUGCACAAGACAACAGGAAGUGAAGUAAUUUGACACAUAAUGUGAUGAGAAUCUCCUCUACCAUGAAGGGACAGAUGAACUCUGUGGCUGGUGACAAGAGUAUUUAUGCAAUAGGAAAAAGGAAUAUUUUGAUUUUGAAAGGCAAGUUGAAUCUAGUGACUCAUUAAAUAAGGAAGCAUGCAAAUAAUU